rnacentral:SRP_RNA from 1 species
GCUGGGCAUGGUGGCACAUGCCUGUAAUCCCAGCUACUCAGGAGGCUGAGGCUGGAGAAUUGCUUGAAUCCAGGAGGCGGAGGUUGCAAUGGGCCGAGAUCAUGCCACUGCACUCCAGCCUGGGUGAUAAAGCAAGACUCAGUCUCAA